rnacentral:rRNA from 1 species
ACGGAAGGCAGCAGUGGGGAAUAUUGCACAAUGGGGGAAACCCUGAUGCAGCGAUGCCGCGUGGAGGAAGAAGGUUUUCGGAUUGUAAACUCCUGUCUUAAAGGACGAUAAUGACGGUACUUUAGGAGGAAGCUCCGGCUAACUACGUGCCAGCAGCCGCGGUAAUACGUAGGGAGCGAGCGUUGUCCGGAAUUACUGGGUGUAAAGGGAGCGCAGGCGGGACAGCAAGUUGGAUGUGAAAUACCGAGGCUUAACCACGGAGCUGCAUCCAAAACUGUUGUUCUUGAGUGAAGUAGAGGUAGGCGGAAUUCCGAGUGUAGCGGUGAAAUGCGUAGAUAUUCGGAGGAACACCAGUGGCGAAGGCGGCCUACUGGGCUUUAACUGACGCUGAGGCUCGAAAGUGUGGGGAGCAAACAGGAUUAGAUACCCUGGUA